UUCCGGUUGAUCCUGCCGGACCCGACCGCUAUCGGGGUGGGGCUAACCCAUGGAAGUCUAGGAGCCGGGGCUAUGGCCGGCUCCGGCGGACGGCUCAGUAGCACGUGGCUAACCUACCCUCGGGAGGGGGAUAACCCCGGGAAACUGGGGAUAAACCCCCAUAGGUGCGGACACCUGGAAUGGGUCCGCGCUGAAAGGGCCACGGUACCAUGCUUACCGUGGCCGCCCGAGGAUGGGGCUGCGCCCUAUCAGGUAGUUGGCGGGGUAACGGCCCGCCAAGCCGAAGACGGGUAGGGGCGGUGAGAGCCGCGAGCCCCGAGAUCGGCACUGAGACAAGGGCCGAGGCCCUACGGGGUGCAGCAGGCGCGAAUACUCCGCAAUGCGGGCAACCGCGACGGGGCUACCCCGAGUGCCGGGCGAAGAGCCCGGCUUUUGCCCGGUCUAAAAAGCCGGGAGAAUAAGCGGGGGGCAAGUCUGGUGUCAGCCGCCGCGGUAAUACCAGCUCCGCGAGAGGUCGGGGUGUUUACUGGGCUUAAAGCGCCCGUAGCCGGCCCGGCAAGUCGCUCCUGAAAUCCCCGGGCUCAACCCGGGGGCGGGGGGCGAUACUGCCGGGCUAGGGGGCGGGAGAGGCCGCCGGUACUCCGGGGGUAGGGGCGAAAUCCUAUAAUCCCAGGAGGACCACCAGUGGCGAAGGCGCCCGGCUAGCACGCGCCCGACGGUGAGGGACGAAAGCUGGGGGAGCAAAGGGGAUUAGAUACCCCCGUAGUCCCAGCUGUAAACGAUGCGGGCUAGGUGUUGGACGGGCUUCGAGCCCGUCCAGUGCCGUAGGGAAGCCGUUAAGCCCGCCGCCUGGGGAGUACGGCCGCAAGGCUGAAACUUAAAGGAAUUGGCGGG
rnacentral:rRNA from 1 species